UGUAAUCUCUAUUACAGAGGUACAUUACGUAUCAUCGUAAAUGCGAAGUUUUUUAGACAUAGAAGGUGUUAUUGGGUGUCCGAUUAUUUGACAAAAAACAAAUAAUACACUUUCAUUUGAAAAACAACAUUUGUCAAAACUAUAUUAGAUAAAUGUAUCAUAUUACAAACUAUUGUUUAAUAAACUACUCAUUAGACAAUAUAUUUACAAAAAAAAUAAUUAUUACGCUAAAACAUUAAUUUACAAAUUGAUUAUUUUUUAAACAUGUUAGAUGGCAAAACAACGUAAAGCAAAAAUAACAUUUGACAAAAUGCAUUGCUUGGUUAGGUUAGAACUGCGACCACAACGCACGAGCCAAGCGAGCGAAGCGAGCGUGCCGCGGCAGCGGCCGGCGAGUGCCAGAACCGAAUUCUACUUAUUUCACUUAAUUCACGUAAUUCUUUAAAUGCAGUGGUAAACAGUUCCAAAUCUUCGAUAUAAUGUAUUUACUAGUACGUUGUCCGUAAAAAUUAAGGUAACGAGGUACCCUUAAUUUAUCCAUAUCGACAGAUCUGGUCCAUUUCUUUUGUACAAUCCUUUCCUUUAUGUCUUCAUUAAAAUAGUGUUCUAACAAAAUGAUGUAAUUAAUUUUUUUAUGGAUUGGAAGUACAUUACAAAAAGUAAAAAUUUUCUCUUCAUCUUGUUUCAGUUGCUCUUUAGUUGUAUACGGUAUAAUAGCUUUUAAUAACCUUAGUUGUAGCUGAUAUAUAUCAUUAAUAUAAGUGAAGAAUGUCCUACCAUAACAGUUUAACCCGUAACUUAUUAUUGAAUCGGCUAAUGCAUUAUAUAACAUCAAAAGAGUACUAUAUGGUAACCUAUAUUUAAGGAUUUUGAACUUAGCCAACACAGCUCUAAGCUUUAAUAAUUUAUUUUAACAGUUGAAUUAUUUUCUAAGUAAAACAUUUGCGGAAUCUGUAUUAUGUCAUAUGAUUGUUUUUAAAGUAAUAUGUUUGCGAAAUGAAAGUUUGUCAAAUGAUUAGUUUUCCAAACGUUGUUUGUAAAAUGAUUAAUGUAGUUAGUCAUAUUGCUAUCUAGACAACCUGAGACCAAACCAAAGAAUAAGGAAUAAUACUGCGUAUAGAACGGCAACUCUCCGCUCCCCACCAGCGGCUGAGCUAGGUUUACCUCACCCCCUUCGGUCUUACUUUAGUCUUCAAUCGUAUGGGCGUCAGGCGUCCCACACGUGUGCGUGUACGAGAAUGUCCAUGUGUAAUGUCUUGUAAAAGGAAGUGUUUUAUAUGAAGUGUCCGGGAAGUGACCAAACCCUAUUUUCUGUACUUUAGAAUCUUUUUUCAAGUCAAUUUUUUCAGUUCACUUUACACUGUACAAUACAGUAGUAAAACAUCAAUAUUGAAACGAUCUGGUUUAACCCAAUUUCCUAUUAAUAGAGUCCACACUAAAAUUGCAAUCGUUAACGACCACCCCCACAUAAGCGAUCAGAGGUGGGGUAAAUAAGCGUUUUGAAGGGGCCUCGUAAAUCGGGGCCUUCCGCCCAAGUUCAGGCCCCAAUAAUGGGCUGUUCCUACGAAAUGUGGCCCCAAAUGUACCAAUUUACCCUUUGCAACGCCCGCCGCGCAUCUUCAGGGUAAAGAGGCCAUUCAAUCUCCAACCGGGUAAGGGUCACGUUAUUUUUUAAAUGAAAUCCUUUGAUGAAGUCCCAAACUGUUGCCAGGUAUAUUUUUUUCGGUUGUUUUUCCUUGUUUUAGCUAUCUGUUGCGGUGUUUUCUUUAGAGCCCCUUCUAUUUUAGCCUGGUAAUUAUGCGGCAAACCAGAUUUCGCUCAUUUUUUAAAAUCAA